UCCUUCCCCUCUUUCUCAAUCUCUCUAUUUAUUGGAGUAUUAUGCGAGAAAAAACAUUCCAAAUUUAUCCAAGAGAAUUAUGACGAAUCUCUCUCAAAAGUCUCAAUUAAAUUAACUUUGUUUUCCUUCUUGAUGCAGCUAGCUAGCUUAUCAAAUUGACAAACUCAAGAAGAUAUUGUGGUUCUUUCAACUUCAAUAGAAGAGCCAGUUUGUCCUUCUCAAGCUCUAGUACUCCUGUGCAGAAUAUAAAGCUAAUUAAGAUGUACCCUUCAAGCAAUUACAGCCCCAAUAUUCCCUCCUCUUUAUACCACAUAUCAUCUCCUUUUAUGCAAUACGAACACGAAUUCUUCCCAUAUAUCCAUGACCAUAAUCUCUUUCAAAUAGCUCAUGAUCAAAAUAAUCUCGAUACCAUGGCAGAAGAUUCUAAGAAAUUAGAUAAACAUGAACAAGAUGAAGAAUUAGUACUAAAAGACUGCAACAAGAAAGAUGAUACGAGCAGUACAAUGACUAGUACUAUUCGUAAAAAAAACAACAAGAGAGUUGCUGCUGCUGGUGCUGCUACAAAGAAAGAUAGACACAGCAAGAUUAACACAGCUCACGGUCCUAGAGACCGAAGAAUGAGACUUUCCCUUGAAGUUGCUCGCAAAUUCUUCAAUUUGCAAGACUUGCUCCGGUUCGAUAAGGCCAGCAAAACUGUGGAGUGGUUGCUUACAAAGUCAAAAUCAGCAAUCAACGAGCUCAUCGAGAAAAUAAACAAAGAGAACUUCACCAGUACUCCUAUUAGUGCAUCGUCUGCCUCCGAGUCAUGUGAAGUUAUAUCGGGAGUAAUUGACGAAUCUGCAGCCACUAAUAAUGACACUCAUAAGCAACAUAAAAAAAAGGUUAAGUCGAUUCGUAGAGCUGCAUUAAUUCAUCCGGUUGUUGCAAAGGAAUCAAGGAAGCAAGCAAGAGCAAGGGCAAGGGAAAGAGCAGCACAAAGAAAGAAAAGCCUUAAUAGUAUUUGUGAAACUAUGGCCGAUUUCCUUGAAGAUCAUCAAUCAGGUAAUUAUCAAGGCUAUAAUACUAACAAUAUUAUGAAUCAUCAUCAUAAUGGGAAGCAGCAUAUUUUGGGUACUCAGGAGAAUGUUGUUGAUAACUCUAAUUUAUUUGUGGUGGAUACUGGCAACUGGAGCCCGUUUACUAUCACCAACCAUCACCCCAUGAAUACUGAAAUUUCUCAAGAGCAUCAAUUUACGAACUUCCAGUAUUCUGGGAAGUUAUGGGAAGCUUAGGGCAAGGAAUUAAAUUCUCUGCGGCAACGUAUUCUUCUUAAUUUAGUGCAACUCCAGAAGGAAGGCUAUUUGGUCCUGUUGAUGUUUGGAUAGCUGUCCCACUCAUAUCUAUUCUGAUGAAGUUUCUAAAGGAUUGCAAGACUGUUAUCUGUAUUCCUUCCAUGAUAAGAUGCCACAUAGAGGACGAGAUAUUUUCAGCAUGCUGCUAUUAUAGUAGUAGAAGUUAAGAUUCAACAAUCUUAUAAUACUACACAAUCCAAAGUUAUAUUUAAUAAAUCAAAAUAUGCAUGACAAACCGCAUGCAUUUAUUACUUUAUCCCAUUCAUUUAUUAAACAAUCAUGUAUUUAGCGUAAACAUAUGAAGAGUGAACUUGAGGUGAGAUUAGAUAUCUAGUAUAUAUCAAUGUUCCAGGAGAAUGAUAUGAUAACUAGUUUCAAUGUUCCAAAAGAAUGAUAUGAUAGAUGAAAAUGUUACACAGAGAAUUAAAAUAGUAAGAAUAGUUGAAAUAUUGAAGUGCUACUUGAGUGUUAUUUGAUAGAAGUGAUAUCCAACAAAAGUGAUGAAAGUAAAGUUCUAGAUAGGAGUAAAAUCACCAUUAUUGUUGUAUGGAAGUAAAAGUUUGGCCUCUAAAGUCCAACAUAUCCAUAAGAUGAAUGUCAUAGAAAUAUGAAUGCUACCAUGGAUGUGUUGUCAUAGAAGAUUGUAAGAAUGGUUGAAAUAGAGAAGUGCUACUAGAGUGUUAUUUGAUAGGAGUAAAAUCACCAUUAUUGUUGUAUAGGAGUAAAAGUUUAGCCUCUAAAGUCCAACCUAUCCAUAAGAUGAAUGUCAUAGAAAUAUGAAUGAUGCUACUAUGGAUAUGUUGUCAUAGAAGAUAGACAAACUAAAAGAGGAUCAGACCACAUUCGACAAAAGGUGUAAGUAGUACACAGGAUAAAAUGAGAGGAAGUUCACUUGAGAUAGUUCAGUCAUGUCCAACAUUGUCUUCUAGAAGCACUGUCGCGUAGGUGUGAAAGUGUUAAAAGGGAACAACAUUGAUAGUGAGAAUUUCAGUCCAAUAUUUACUAUGAGUCUAUUAGACUUUCCUGAUACGUAUAUUCUAGUAAAAGUGAAGAGAACUUCUGAGUACUAGAGAAACUAAUUUUAUAACAUUGGACCGAUAUAAGCUUAAACGGAACGACAUGAUAGUGAGAAUUUAUGUAAUCUAUCUGAACUUACUUGGCAUGAAAUUGAUGAGAUGUAGUAGUAGUUCUUAUAUUUAGCGCCGGCAUACAGUUCAAACGAAGUCUGUAAGGUUAAGAUAACAUAAUUCAUUUAGAGCCCUAGAGGAUGUUUUAUCUUUAGAAUUAAGCCAUCAAAAUUAAUUUCCAGAAUUUUGAAAUCGCUAUAGAUAGAGGCCUUUUCAAAUAAUUCUCCAUGUAACAUUUGAUGUAUGUUAGUGCAGGAACUCCAAAUCAUCACUAACCUCCACACCCACCCUUUGUUUCAUUGUUUCUUGCCUUUGUAUGGCAAAUCUAAAGGAAUAAAACGAUACUAGUAGUAAUUAUAGCACUGCUAAAUUAGUUUCUCUACUACAUAAUUAUCAUUCCAUUCUCCUUUAGUUUAUUCUUGUUCGAAGAAGUAUAAAUGAUUGCACUUCUAUGAAUGAUAACUGAUGAAAUGGUCAUAAAUAUGGCAUCAUUACCAUAAUUCUAUUAUAUCUCUCUACUGAUUUAAAGAGAUUCUUUGGUUUGAGUGGUGCAUUUCUGAGCUUUCAGUAAUUGGCAUUAGUUUGUAGUCGACCAUAAAUAUAACAAAA